UUCGUUAUCAGUUAGAUAAUAAAAUGGAUCGAUGGCGAUGACAUGUGCACCGGCCACAGAGAAAUGUCAAACUCAAAGAUUUGUUGAUUUACCAAAGCAAAGCAAAAACAGAAGUGUUGAACCUGCUGAACCUAAAUUAUACAUAAUAAUAUUGUACUACGGUUAGUUUUCUACGUCUCAGUGUUUUAUCUUCACCUCUCAAACUUUUUAAUUUCGCGUAAAAAUACUAAAUAUCAAGAAAUAUUAACACUCUUCAUAGAAACGGUUUUGUUUGGAAUUUGAAGACUUGCAUCAGAAGAUUUACGCUAAAUAAUGGCAGCAGAACAAAAUGUAUUGUCGGAGGAUAGAAAAAUAUGUCGCAUCUGUUUACGCAUGGAUCCACGAGCCCUGGACAUGUUCAAUAGUUAUUAUGAAGAGAGGGAUACUUUAUAUUGUGAUAUGUUGGUAUACUGCAGUAAAGUCUUGGUCAAUAUGAAAGAUGGCUUGCCUCCGUACCUGUGCCGCAAUUGCAUAGCUCAUCUUAUAGAUGCAUACGAGUUCAACUUGGUAUGUGAAGAGACAGAGAAAAACUUUUAUUGGUUGCUCACAGUCAGAUGAUUUGUGGCUGAAGAAGCUGGGGCAAGCUUCGACUGAAUAAAAAAUGGAAUGAGAGAUCUGAAUUCUGGUCUCCGGAAGGAUCCGUGCGAAUGUUAUGGUACUUUUAUUCAAUAAAUAGCUUGGUGUUAUGGUGGCAUAGUUAACAUGCAUAUUCUCAAGUUUUAUCUGUGAAAUUAUAUCUUUACACACUUCCCACAUUUUUAAUAUAGUUAUAAGUGCAAUUUGUAUCAGGAAUAUUAUGUUUACUUAUGAAUGUUUGUAGCAAAUAUUUUAAAAAUAUGUUAUGCCGAUAUUGUUCUUGUUAAGUUAAAAAAUAAUGUAUUAAAAGUUGACUUGUUGAGUACCAUAUAAAAGAAUAAACACGGUAUAGUGAUGAGUGAAAAAACUUUGCACGAAGUAACUAUUAAUAUUGUCAAAAUGCAUUAACCCAUAAUGUGCCGGAACACAGAUCUACAGAAGGCAUAAUGUGUUUUCUAUUAGGCAUUAACAAUAAGAGAUGUGAAGGAAAUGGAAUAAUCUACAAGCUGUAAAGCAGUGAAAACAACUACUGCUCAACAUAUUUAUUGUAAUUGCCAAAAUGUAAAUCUAAGGCAAGUAGGAAUGUUUAUGAUAUUAUUUGUAUUGUUACCAACUAUGGUGAGCAUAAAUUAAAGUUGUCAUGGCAUGUUAUAAUCCUCCAAUGCCGAUUUUGGCUACGGUGAAUGUUUCUACUCGUGUCUAUCAUGGGCUCACAUGCGGUUGGAAAAUCUGGUGUUUUAUAUAGCAUCAGAUGAAAGAAAUGAAAUAAAGAGUGGAAGAUAUUGUGAAGCAGUAACUAGUUACUGCAAAUGUGUUUCAUAUAUUGUUAUGAGACUGCAAAUGUGGUAUCAAUUCGAAGGCUGUUUUUGUAAUUAUUUAUACUUAUUUCUAUUAGCAAGUAGGAAACAUAAAAUCUAUUAUGUUUUAUGUUUAGUUAAUUAUGUAUACAAUUUAUAAAAAUUGUUUUUCAUAUUGUUAUUGUCAAAUGUUAGUUUAUUUUAAAGAUUUGGCGCCAUUUUGUGGGUGUCUCAAUUGUAACUGUAUAUAUUUUAAAUAUUGUAGACUAUAUUAUUGUGUAAAUUUUAUUAAUCGUUUUAAUAGAUAGAGGUAUUUUAAUUUCUACAUUUACACAUGUAUUGUAAAUAAUGUAAUAAAUAGAUAUCUAUUUACAUAUUGGAUCCAACUAUCCAGAUAGAUAGUGGGUUAAUAAUUACUGUUAUAUAAUAUAACAUACUACCUUACGGUACAUACCUAUCUUUUUUGAAUAAAUUGCUUUCUAGAU